GACCUAAUGGUCAGGGAUCCCUUUACCUUUACCUUUAGAGGUAAAGGUAAAGGUACCCCUGCCCGUACGGGC